rnacentral:sRNA from 1 species
GCGUCGCAGUGUUGUUGCAAACGCCGGUCGCGUAGGUUGUUGCUAGUGUGAAACGUUGAGCGCAGCGCCCACCCACACACACAUACACAUAUGUACGUAGUCGAGUGCGCGGAGCAGUCAGUUGUUGCCGCCAAUUGAAUGGACAGUCGCGGUUAACGAAACACGAAAAGUCGACUCGCCUCGCGUCGCGUGGAGUUCACUUGAGUUGAGUGGCGGCGAGUGUGUGUGUUUGCUUUUUUUUCGAACGCGCGAAACACGCGGCUGUUGCGGCGGUCCCGAGUGCAUUACUCACUCUUUUUUUUUCGGUUACUUGCAAGUGAUACCCCUUAAACGACCCCUUCCCCCCCACACUUCAAUCCCCCUCGCUGGCAUCAAACGCCAAAGGUGAUUAUAUUCGGAAAAGCAACGCCGUGGAGUAAAUAACGGAGCGGAGAGCGGAUCAACACAAAGCGAGACUACCUUUGGGGUCAUAGUUCAUGUUUCCCAUAUACACUUUUUAAACGCCGAUGAAGUUUAAGACUUGCUGAUGAUUGGAGUCAAAUAAUUAUAAAGGGUAAUCACGUUUGGCAAUCGUCAUGGUUCUUCAAGUCAAAUGCAUAAAAACUGACACAAACAGGAGCAAACAACACACGUGAAUUGGAAAGGGACGAAGGAACUAUAAUUGCACAACAAACCUGGUGGAAAGAGCAGCGACAAGAGCAGGAGAAGCACGGCUAUUCGCGAGCUUAGAGACCAUACCCACUGUCCUCCGGGACAUUAAUUAAUCACGGCCUUGUCAUUCGCAAGGAUCGAGGAGUGGCCAAAACGGCCAAACAAACAGGAGUACAGGAGUACUGGAGUACAGGAGUACAGGAGACUGGAGAAGGGUGCAGAAAUCAAAUUAACAGUGCGUCAAAAGGAUUAACCCCGUGCAGCCAAGGCAGCCAAGGGCAGGAGCAGGGAUUGGAGUUGGAGUUGGAGCACGGAGCACGUAGCACGAGUAAACCAACCGACCGACCCGAGAUCCACAUUCCAGGGUCAGCGGGUUACGCAGUUUGGAGCUUAGUUUGCAGCGUAGUUGCGAAGCUGCCUCCUUUGGCACGUGUUCGGCGGCUCGUCG